rnacentral:lncRNA from 1 species
CUUAUCGUUCAUAUCUAAUUCUUGUUCCAAAAAAUCGAGAAAUUUCUCAAUCCUAGUUUCAGGAUUUCUUUUCUUUUCAUGUUUGAGGUCAUGAUGUUAUGUAAGUUCUUCUCCGUUGCUUAAAUUUCUUGAUUAAUUCUGGUUGUUCGUCAAUUCAGUCUCCUGAUAUUUUGGGGUUGAAAAAAGUAGAAUACUUAGUAAAAGGU